rnacentral:rRNA from 1 species
CCUACGGGUGGCUGCAGUGAGGAAUAUUGGUCAAUGGACGAGAGUCUGAACCAGCAAAGUAGCGUGAAGGAUGACUGCCCGAUGGGUUGUAAACUGCUUUUAUAGGGGAAUAAAAUGUGCCACGUGUGGGAUUUUGUAUGGACCAUAUGAAUAAGGAUCGGCUAACUCCGUGCCAGCAGCCGCGGUAAUACGGAGGAUCCGAGCGUUAUCCGGAUUUAUUGGGUUUACAGGGAGCGUAGGUGGUUUGUUAAGUCAGUUGUGAAAGUUUGCGGCUCAACCGUAAAAUUGCAGUUGAAACUGGCAGUCUUGCGUACAGUAGUGGUUGGCGGAAUUCGUGGUGUCGCGGUGACAUGCUUAGCUCUCACGAAGAACUCCGAUUGCGAAGGCAGCUCACUGGACUGCAACUGACACUGCGGCUCGAACGUGUGGGUAUCAACCAGGAUUCGCUACCCGAGUAGUC